ACUGGAUUCCCAGAGGACAAGAGCUACCAGACCUUUCUGCAGGAACACUGCUUCAACAAGACUGCUUCAUCUGGACUGCUACCACCACGGUUUUAGCCUCACUAUUCUGCAUACCCAGACCUUCUUUGUUCACAGAAUUCAUCCAUGGGACAAAUUAAGACUGCUCCUGUAACCAGCAAGUAAUUUGUUUAAGAUAACAGGAAUAAUGAACACAUACUAUCAUGGAACCUGGGGAAAAAAGCUGUGGCAGAGGCAGAAAAAGGUCAUCUUGUCCAUUGACUGCACAAUGAGGGAAUUAAGGAUUCUGCAAAACUCUUGUGGGGUGUCUGGUUAACCUGAGUGUAAAGGGCUCCAGUGAUGAAUUCUCUAUGUCAUUCUUAGGCAGAUUGCAUAUUUGCUUCACUUCAUUUAGAAAACUUUUUUUCAUAUAUUGUCUGAAUCUUCUUUUUGUGAUUUUAGCCUUUUUUUUUGA